rnacentral:lncRNA from 1 species
GAGUCAGUCAGCUUCCUGUUGCCUACAAGAUAUAUGACUAGCAGCUACAUUGCCUGUACACUGCCAUGCUCCCUGCCAUGAUGAUAAUGGACUGAACUUCUGAAACUUAAACUCACUUGAAGAAUGUGAGGAGGAAAACCAGAAAUAAAAGAAGUAUGGCAUUGAAAGCAGCAGAAAGCUGCUGACAGUGGGCUUUCCGAAAAAGAAAAGCAGUCAAAGGAUGAUGCAUUGUUGCAGAGCAGAGCAAGGUGCAGGGGAAAGUCCCAGGGAAAUGUGCAAGAUUCAGCACGCUUACCACUGCAGAAAAAAAAAAAAUGCCAAUGAGCAAUGUGUUGAUCAAAGUUCUGAGGAGGAGAGAUGCUCAAAUAUUUACUCAGAGCACUUCGCCGAAAGGUACCCAAGGGUGCUCCAAGGUGGCCACCAACUGACUUUUGGCAGAGACAGCAUUUCCUCUGUUCUAAGGGACCAUUCAUUCCCACCUGGCGCUUCCUCACACUCCCUCCCUCCUGCUCUAGCGCUCCUUAGGAAGAUGUUUUAUGAACUGUGUGCUUGAAUAUUUUUGUGCUUGCAGCAAAGAAUGUUGUUUUCCUAAAUCAAGAAGGAGAACAGAAACUUUGAAAACUGGGCUUCUCAGCCUCAGGAAUGCUGCUGCUCAGACACUGUCCUGGAAAGGACUACAAAUGAUACAGCUCCACACCUGGAGACAGACACCCUACUGUGAUGCCCACGCACCAUCUGCUGCCUCUGUUUCUCCACUUGCUGGCUUUGGGAAACCUUUUCUCAUCUGUUAAUGCAAAUUCUGUCUGAACCAAGGGAAGAGCUGUCUUGUCUACCACCUGGAUCACCUGGCAACAGCAAAGCUACAACUGAGGUAUGACCUGACCCAUCCACCAUUAUGAGUCAAAGAACCUCCAAGACACUGCUGAGUUCCUUCUGAAUUGGCCAUCCAUUGCUGGGCAUGGGGUCUAACCUCCAGAGUGAUUUGCUUCCCCAAAGAGACUCCCUUGGAGAAAUCUAACUUUUCACUUGCAAAUGAUUAUCAAUUGGAGAAAGCUUCUGGGUUAAGGAUGGAUGUGUGUAUCCAUUUCCACUCUUAGCACUGGGACCCCAUCUGGUGCAGACAUGUAAAAGUCCUGUAUAUACUGCCACAGUUUCUGUGAAUUCAUAUGUAUGCCAGUCACUCCAUGUAUAGAAGAUUUUGUUUCCAUGGUGCCUCCUGCCUCUUCUACUCCUCCCACUUUCUCUUCUGCAAGUUCCCAGAAGGGAAGCAUAAAUACAACAGAAAUGGUUAGAAGAUGAAGGAGGAGGAGGAG